GCGGCCGCGGGCUCGUUCCUGUAGAGCGGCGCUCCCGCCAACAAUGGGAUCCCGGUUCCUCUCGUGUCCCCGCGUGGUGCUGAACCCACAGCCCCACACUUGUGGGGCGCGCCCCAUAGCGGGGCUUCCGCAACCCCACACUGUGCCCCACAACCCCACACUGUGCCCCACAACCCCACGUUGUGCCCCACACAUUGCCCCAUAACCCCAUAUAGCGCCCCAGAACCCCACACAUUGCCCCAUAACGCCACAUGCUGCCCCACACAUUGCCUCAUAUCCCCCCUAGUGCCCCAUAACCCCACACGCUGACCCACACAGCGCCCCAUAACCCCACAUUGUGCCCCACACAUUGCCCCAUAACCACCCCAGUGCCCCACAACCCCACCGUGUGCCCCACACAUUGCUCCAUAACCCCACACACUGCCCCACACAUUGCCCUGUAACCCCACACUCUGCCCCAUAACUCCUCCAGUGCCCCAUAGCCCCACAUGCUGCCCCACAGAGCCCCAUAACUUCACACAGCGCCCCACAGCCCCUCUUUGCCCCAUAACCCCACAUACUGCCCCACACAUUGCCCCAUAACCCCACACAUUGCCCCAUAACUCCNUCACGGGGCCGGUCGUGGUGUCACGGUGUUGGCGUGGGGCUGGUCACGGUGUUGCCAUGGGGCCGGUCGCGGUGUCACGGUGUUGGUGUGGGGCCGGUCACGGUGUCACGGGGAUGUCACAGUGUUGGUGUGGGGCUGGUCGUGGUGUCACGGUGUUGGCAUGGGGCUGGUCGCGGUGUCACGGUGUUGGCGUGGGGCCGGUCGCGGUGUUGUCACGGUGUUGUCACGGGGCUGGUCAUGGUGUCACGGGGAUGUCACGGUGUUGUCACGGGGCCAGUCGUGGUGUCACGGUGUUGGUGUGGGGCUGGUUGCGGUGUUGCCAUGGGGCCGGUCACGGUGUUACGGUGUUGUCACGGUGUUGGCAUGGGGCCGGUCGUGAUGUCACGGUGUUGGUGUGGGGCCAGUCAUGGUGUUGUCACGGUGUUGGCAUGGGGCCGGUCGCGGUGUCACGGGGAUGUCACGGUGUUGUCACGGGGCCAGUCGUGGUGUCAUGGUGUUGUCACGGGGCCGGUCAUGGUGUCACGGUGUUGGUGUGGGGCCGGUCGUGAUGUCACGGUGUUGGUGUGGGGCCGGUCACGGUGUCACGGGGAUGUCACGGUGUUGGCGUGGGGCUGGUCGUGGUGUCACGGUGUUGGCGUGGGGCCAGUCGUGGUGUCACGGUGUUGGUGUGGGGCUGGUCACGGUGUUGCCAUGGGGCCGGUCGCGGUGU
rnacentral:lncRNA from 1 species